AAUUUGAGUAUGCUUCUCAGCAUAUUUCUAAUUUACUGUGAACUGUUUUACUGUUUAGCGUUUUGAGGGAUUGCCUAAAGAUUAUAGGGAUAGGUCUUUAGGAUGUUAACCUAGCUAAAGUCAGGCUUAGGCCUGGUAUCCUAAUUCAUUAUUUACCAAAAGAAUUCAGAAUUAAUUAUUGUAACAUAAGCGUAAAAAACUUAUAAAACAACUUUUAACAACGGAUCUCUUGGUUCUCGCAUCGAUGAAGAACGUAGCAAAGUGCGAUAACUAGUGUGAAUUGCAUAUUCAGUGAAUCAUCGAGUCUUUGAACGCAUCUUGCGCUCAAUGGUAUUCCAUUGAGCACGCCUGUUUCAGUAUCAACAACAACCCACAUCCACAAUUUUGUUGUGAAUGGAAGUGAGAAUUUCGGACUUGCGCUGAAUUCUUUAAAAUUAUUAGGCCUGAACUAUUGUUCUUUUAGCCUGAACAUUUUUUUAAUAUAAAGGAAUGCUCUAGUUAUUAAGACUGUCUUGGGGGCCUCCCAAAUAAAUCACUUUUUAAACUUGAUCUGAAAUCAGGUGGGAUUACCCGCUGAACUUAAGCAUAUCAAUAAGCGGAGGAAAAGAAAAUAACAAUGAUUUCCCUAGUAACGGCGAGUGAAGAGGAAAGAGCUCAAAGUUGGAACCUGUUUGGCUUAGCUAAACCGGAUUGUAAACUGUAGAAGUGUUUUCCAGACACGCCUGGUAAAAAAGUCCUUUNGGAACAGGGNAUCAUAGAGGGUGAGAAUCCCGUCAUUGGNCCAGAGCUGUUGUCUUUUGUGAUACAUUUUCCAAAGAGUCAGGUUGUUUGNGAAUGCAG
rnacentral:rRNA from 1 species